rnacentral:rRNA from 1 species
GAUGAACGCUGGCGGCGUGCCUAAUACAUGCAAGUCGAGCGAACAGACGAGGAGCUUGCUCCUUCGACGUUAGCGGCGAACGGGUGAGUAACACGUAGGUAACCUACCUAUAAGACUGGUAUAACUUCGGGAAACCGGAGCUAAGACCGGAUAAGAUUUCGAACCGCAUGGUUCGAUAGUGAAAGAUGGCUUUGCUAACACUGAUAGAUGUACCUGCGCCGUAUUAGCUAGUUGGUAAGGUAACGGCUUACCAAGGCAACGAUACGUAGCCGACCUGAGAGGGUGAUCGGCCACACUGGAACUGAGACACGGUCCAGACUCCUACGGGAGGCAGCAGUAGGGAAUCUUCCGCAAUGGGCGAAAGCCUGACGGAGCAACGCCGCGUGAGUGAUGAAGGUCUUCGGAUCGUAAAACUCUGUUAUUAGGGAAGAACAAACGUGUAAGUAACUGUGCACGUCUUGACGGUACCUAAUCAGAAAGCCACGGCUAACUACGUG